UACGAAGGGUGCUAGCGUUAUUCGGCAUGACUGGGUGUAAAGAGCGCAAAGGCGGUUUCUUAAGUCAGUUGUUAAAUAGCCCGGCUUAACCGGGCAAAUGCAAUUGAAACUGGGAGGCUAGAGUGCAGGAGAGAAAGGUAGAAUUCUCGGAGUAGCGGUAAAAUGCGUAGAUCUCGAGAGGAAUACCGGUUGCGAAGGCGGCCUUUUGGUCUGUUACUGACGCUCAAGCGCGAAAGCGUGGGGAGCAAACGGG
rnacentral:rRNA from 1 species